UUCCGACUCUGUACAAAACAUUCUAGCCUCGCCCCUGAAGCCGUCUAACUUUCCUGUUUUGGUUUCUUCCCCUACCUCAUUUUCCCCUAACACCUCCCCCGUCGUAGUCACCACUUCCCAGAUCCUUCGCUGUUUUCUCCGAGGUUAAAGAUAGCCUCCUCUCGGCCCCUUUUGUGGGUUAUUCAAACAUCAUGCAAAGGUCUCUAACACGAGAACAUUCGCUUUGACAUUUGGGGCCACUGAUGGCAACUUCAGAACAGCUCAGAGGUUUUCUGAGACACGGAGAUCAAGCUGUCACCUACCAACCUUCUCUCCACGAUAGAGGACUGUAGAAAUAGAAUAUUAGAGCUGGACAGUUGAAAUUCCUUUGCAAGGCUACCCAGAGCUGAUUGUAUCAAGCCACUGAAUAUCAAGCUUAAUAAAAUUACAUAAUUGCACUUCUCUCUCAGUUGAAUUCAUUCAAAUCUACCACCGUUGAACUCCCUCUUCAGAUUCUGAGAGAGGCUGGAAAACUGCUACAGAUCCCAAGCUAUUGGAUGGAUCAUUUAACUUGUGUGAUUUGGAAACUUGCCUGGUGGUCAGACUUUUCUGAGCAGGAUUGAUGUUGAAAUGCAAACUAGAUUUAGACUUCUCAUAUUCUGAGAACUCCAUAAAGCUUCUCCCUUGGUCAGCAAGUUCCCCACUGCUCCCCCGGCCUGCUUUGCAUUUUAAUCCUUUCUUCUCCUCCCCCUAACUCUUGACCUCAUCUUUGUUUAAAAUAUUUUCAUCCUUCAAGGCUCAAUUCACAUCUCAUUUCUCUGGGAGACCUUCUCUGACUACCAUACCCACAAUACUCUCUCUCCUAAUUUUCCAUAAUUCUUAACUAUUUAUAUUACUGCUGGGUCCUGAUUAUAUAAUUCCUAAGAAUGUGAAUGAUGACAUUAUAGCAGUGGUUUAUAUUUCUAUAGCACUUUGAAGUCUGUGAAACUCUUUCCUCAAAACAAUACCUUGUGAGAGGUCAAACCAGUGUUUUUAUUCCUAUGUUACAGAUGGGGAAACUGAGUCUUAGAAAGCUUAUGUACUUGAAUUCACACAGGGAGGGACAGAGGCAAGACUAGAAUCCAGAUCUUUUGACUCCUAAUCUUAUUUUUAUUCCAGUACAUUGUUGCUUUUCUCUACUAAGUAGAUAUUCCAUGUCCAUACCUGUGCUAGGUUUCAUAGGAGGCAGAAAGAUGUUCAGUACCUUUCCUUGAGAAACUCACAGUUUUUUUGGAGUAUAUGAUGAUCUAGAUUUCAAUUUAAAGAAGACACAGGGACCUCACUUGGUUAUAAUAUGUUGAUAAUAUAAUAAGACAAUGUGACAAUGGAGCAAUAAAGAGAGUAUUGGACUUGGAGUUAGAAAGAUUCUGCCAGAAAGUAUCCUGCCAGACACUUACUAGUUGUGUGAUUUUGGAUAAGUCGUUCCCCUCUAUGAGUCUUAUCUUUUUUAAUCUAUAAAAUAAGGCAGUUUGACUUGAUAAUCAAUAAUAUCUCUUCUAUCCCUGAGAAACUAUCAUGCUGAGGUCUUUUUGCCCUGAUUCACAGCAUACCUGAGCUCCAUCUAUAAGUGUUCCAGAUAUUCUAGGUCUGCAACCUGACCUGAGUGAGUCCUGAAUGUUGGGAAUGAGGUUGGGAUUUUUUAUACUCAGGAGAACAAAAAUUACUAAAACCCUUUCAAUCCACACUGACCUGAGGUAAUUACAUUCCAGGCACCUUUGAAUGUAUUAAUCAUGAGUAAGCUAGAGAAUCACACACAGAAGUUGAUAGAGUACACUUUUUGAUUGUAUUUCCCCUCCUCCUUCUAUCAGAAUGGGGAAGUUUGACCAAGUUGUCUCAGGGAAGCAAAGGGAUUUGCAAAAAGAGCAAAAUUCUAUCAAUUGCAUGGAACCUGUGCUUCAUGGUCAAAUCAGAGGUAUUCAUAAGAUAGAGAGCUUUUUGGUUCCACACAGUCAGGAAGUCUUCAUGAAUGAGGCAAGACUAGAGUUGGGUCUUGGAAGAUGGAAGAAUGUAGAUAGGUAAAAAAGGAAGAGAAAGAGCCUUUUAGGAUGUAUAUGAGCAAAGACUGGCUUAUUAAGCAACACUGUCUGCUCCAGAAAUAGAUAAUCUAGCAGAACUCUCUUUCAACUCUGACCUAACCCAAAUAUAUUUUUUUCAAUUUUUAUCAAUUUUUUUAAAGCUUUGAAUUUCAAAUUUUAUCCCUCCUUCCUCUUCCCCUUUCUGAGACAAUAAGUAAUCAGUUAUAAAUUAUACAUGUAUAUUACAUGUACAUUAGACACUAUAUUUAAAUAUGCACAUAUAUAACAUUUCCAUAUUAGUCAUU